rnacentral:rRNA from 1 species
CCUACGGGAGGCAGCAGUGAGGAAUAUUGGUCAAUGGGCGUAAGCCUGAACCAGCCAAGUCGCGUGAGGGAUGAAGGUUCUAUGGAUCGUAAACCUCUUUUAUAAGGGAAUAAAGUGCGGGACGUGUCCCGUUUUGUAUGUACCUUAUGAAUAAGGAUAGGCUAACUCCGUGCCCGCAGCCGCGGUACUACGGAGGAUCCGAGCGUUAUCCGGAUUUAUUGGGUUUAAAGGGUGCGUAGGCGGCCUUUUAAGUCAGCGGUGAAAGUCUGUGGCUCAACCAUAGAAUUGCAGUUGAAACUGGAAGGCUUGAGUAUGUUUGAGGCAGGCGGAAUGCGUGGUGUAGCGGUGAAAUGCUUAGAUAUCACGCAGAACCCCGAUUGCGAAGGCAGCCUGCCAAGCCAUGACUGACGCUGAUGCACGAAAGCGUGGGGAUCAAACAGGAUUAGAUACCCCUGUAGUC